UACAGUAUGAAUUAGAAACCUACGUUGAGGCAUACUUGCUGUUCCAAUCACGUUCAAACAGAUCUUGCAAUUCACUAAUAAUGGUUUUCUCUGUAUCAAACGACGAUAACACCAUCCCUACACCGGCCGUAUUAAUAAAAUAAUCUCCUGACCAGUUGGAGGUACCGAUAUACGCCGUGUUAUCCGUCACCAUGUACUUAUUGUGGUUAACGCGCCCGUACGGAAUCUUGCGUUGGUCUGCGGUGGCGGGUACGAUGAAACGUCGUACCUGGAUAUCAACGUCGUUAAGUGAGUUAGAGAGGGCUUCCAGCGAUUUUAAAAAAUAAUCUUCUGAAGGACGCGAGUGAUCCCAUAACGAGAUAAGCAAGCGAAUUGAUACCUUACGCUCGAUUGCUGCCUUCCGCAAUGCAUCAUCAAUCACAGGCCAGUAUCUAAACGAUCGUAAUACGGAGAAGGCAAUAAUUCAACACCUUUAACAUCAUUCGUUCGCAAAUGCUACUCACCGCGUAAAGCGCGUGUAAAUUGUCAGAGGAAAAUAAUCCAUAACAGACACGUGUAUGAAACGACUCGCUGCACUGAUGACUUUUAAAAUUGCGUCACAAUCAUCAGUACGCGUCGCCGGUGACAUCUGCGGUGAAAAGUAAGUCUGGAGCGUAUACGCACCGUUAAAGUGCACACGAGCAGGUGUGGUAUCGUUGAAGUUUGCCUCAUAUUCCUUUGGCCACCGAGUUGCUUGGAGCAACUGAUGGAAAAUGGCUUCGCCCUCCUUCGCUGAUGAAUGGUUGUAGACAUCAGAGCCUUUCAACGUCCAAUAGAAUGAAGCAAUCUUAAUAGUGGUGUUGGCCAUCGCUAGCAAUGCGCUCCACGCAUCGUACGUUGUUUGGAACGUUGGACUACUUGAGGGGAAAGUUAAUCCUUCAGGUAAACUUUCCACCAGCGCAAUCUGGCACCGAUCGGGACACAUCUGUACCUGCUCCUUAGAUACCAAUCGGUACUCCGAAAACGAUGAACCCGAGGCCCGCUCGCUAGGAUCGUCUAUCAAUGGUAACAACACAACCAGCACGAUCAACACCAAAAUGAUGGAUAUCGGAAUGCACGACGACCAGCCGGAGCCGUGUCUUGGAUACGAUCAAGCUGGAUUUGGAUGUUCAUCUUUUCACAGUUCGUAGCAGAAUGAAGUCAAACUUUCGUUACAAUUAUUAGCACGCCAACUCAAGAAUAAACAAAACAUGACACACAACAGUUUGUAUGUUCAUAAACAUAUGGAACGUUGUUUGAGAAAGGAGCUUUCAAGUACUGUCAAAUAUUAGACCAUCUGGCACAGCCAGGAUUGUUUGGAGGCAUGCCACGUUAUAACACAUGGGCUGAAAAGGCGCGGGCCUAAUACAUAAAUGGUGCUAGUCUUAUAACAUUCACUGCUUUUUCAGUUAUUACAUUCCUUUAAAAGAAAUCUGUUCAAAUUUAAUGAUAUUUGUACUCAUAACUUUGAGAGUGAAGUUGCGUGAGUUUACUGGCAUUGUAAAGAUAUUAAAAGAACGU